UCAAAACACUAAAAAUUAUUUCAUUAAUAUACAUCCAAUGUGAAGAAUUUUCACAAUAUAAAGUGAUCAAACAAUUUUCUAUUUUCAUUAGAAGAAAAGUUAGUUUUUUGUCGAUUAUAUGCAAAGUGGAAAAAAUAUGACCAAAUUUCUCAAAUUAGUUUAUGCUAUGAUUCUUCUCAUUUUCCUCUUUCUUGUUGUAGCCGACGGCACCAAUAGUAGUUAUGAGUGUAUCCGUCCUCAAUUCAUGAUAUGCAAUUUGCGUGGGUGUUUUUGUGGGACAUGGGAGAAUACUUAAGUUUAAAAGUAAUGCUUUGAAUAUAAUGUUAAUUGUAUUAUGCAAGUUUUGUAUCCUUUGUUCUCCUUUUGAAAAAUGGGAGAGAAGUAAUAGUUAACAUCA